AACGCGAAGAACCUUACCAGGGUUUGACUUCCUGCGAAUUUUUCGAAAGAAGAAAGUGCCUUCGGGAACGCAGUGACAGGUGUUGCAUGGCCGUCGUCAGCUCGUGUCGUGAGAUGUUUGGUUAAGUCCAUCAACGAGCGCAACCCUUUUACUUAGUUGGAUUUUUCUAAGUAGACUGCCCCGGUAACGGGGAGGAAGGAGGGGAUGAUGUCAGGUCAGUAUUACCCUUACACCCUGGGCUAGAAACACGCUACAAUGGCCGGUACAAAGGGCAGCCAAGUCGUGAGACGGAGCAAAUCCCAUCAAAAACCGGUCUCAGUUCGGAUUGCAGGCUGAAACUCGCCUGCAUGAAGCUGGAAUCGCUAGUAACGGUAGGUCAGCACACUACCGUGAAUACGUUCCCGGGCCUUGUACACACCGCUAGUC
rnacentral:rRNA from 1 species